GUCAACGCGUGCUCGAAGAUUGUUCGAGAUUAAUGAAUACACUCGAGGACGACUGAUUUAUCAGAAUGGCCGUGACGGCAGCCACCUUAUUUAACAGUUUUGAGAGACGGCGGCUAGAUGGCGCUAGUGGAACGUGCACCGGACGCAUCAUUAUCGACAGUCCAAUAUUGUAACGGUUCUCCCCGCCAAGCGAUCGCCUUUAUAAGGAGCCGCGCUUUUGAGUCGACACGCAUUUCAAACG
rnacentral:misc_RNA from 1 species